AUGGAGCUCCCAUGGGGUGCCCUGCUGCUGGCGCUGCUCUCCGUCUCCUCCUCCUCCGCCGUCGCCACGCUCGCCGUCACCGCUCCCCCUCCGGCCCCUGCCCGUGCUCCUGCCCCCGUCACCGCCCCUGCCCCCGCCCAUGCACCUCCUCAAGCUCAGGAAGCUGAAGGUCUGCUGAUCAACGGCAACUUCGAGACGGCGCCGAGGAAGGUGAACAAGACCCUCAUCGUGGGGCGGCACUCGCUGCCGGGGUGGACGCUGCGGGGCCACGUCGAGUACGUCUCGGCGGGGCCGCAGCCGGGCGGCAUGUUCUUCGCGGUGCCGCACGGCGUGCACGCGCUCCGCCUCGGCAGCCACGCGUCGGCGUCGCAGAACGUGUCCGUGCGCCCCGGCUCGCUCUACGCGCUCACCUUCGCCGCCACCCGCACCUGCGCGCAGGACGAGGCCCUGCGCAUCGCCGUGUCCCCGUCGCUCUCGGCCCCGGCCGACGUCGCCGUCCGCACCCUCUACAGCGCCGACACCGCCGACACCUGGGCCUGGGGCUUCCGCGCCUCCUCCCCCGUCGCGCAGGUCACCUUCAGCAACCCGGGCGUGCAGGAGGACGCCGCGUGCGGCCCGCUCAUCGACGCCGUCGCCAUCAAGGAGCUCCCCACGCCCUACCCCACCAAAGAUAACCUGAUCAAGAACGACGGGUUCGAGAUCGGUCCGCAGGUGUUCAAGAACUCUAGCGUGGGCGUGCUGCUGCCGCCGAAGCAGAAGGACGUGACGUCGCCGCUGCCGGGCUGGAUCAUCGAGUCGCUCAAGGCGGUGCGGUACAUCGACGCGGCCCACUUCUCGGUGCCGGCGGGGCAGUACGCGGUGGAGCUGGUGGCCGGGCGGGAGAGCGCCAUCGCGCAGGUCAUCCGCACCGUGCCCAACCGCGCCUACAACCUCUCCUACGUCGUCGGCGACGCCAAGAACGGCUGCCACGGCUCCAUGCUCGUGGAGGCCUUCGCCGCCAACGUCACGCAGAAGGUGCCGUUCGAGUCCACGGGCAAGGGCGGCUUCAAGGCGGCGAGCCUCAGGUUCGUGGCCGCCGGAGUCCGCACCAGGGUCACCUUCUACAGCUCCUACUACCACACCAAGGUCACCGACGGCGUCUCGCUCUGCGGCCCCGUGCUGGACCAGGUCAAGAUCGUGCCGAUGAAGCUCUAG
rnacentral:rRNA from 1 species